AAUAGUUUACCUGAUCUUGAUUCAACUUUGGAAUGUUAGAAACUACGCCCAUAAAGUCUCACCGAUAUAACUGCCUAAACCUGAACUGAAAAAGAACAAGAGCAGACAUGCUAAUGUCAAUGGGGGAAAGCCCAGCAGGCCUCAACCUUACACAAAGAAUACAGUUUGUAUUUGCUUUUUCUCCUACCCUGUAUCUCCCCUGAGAAACCGUCUCAGCACUGUUGUGACCUCUGGUCAACUACAAGGAUGGCCUAUGUCCUACAAGAUCAAACAUUCAGCCAAGACUUGAUUCAUUACAUAACAAUAAACAAAUUUAUCUUAAUUUGCAAUUUGCUUGUUUUUAAUAAAUUAUAUAUAUAUAUAUAUACAUAUAUAUAUAUAUCAAAGAACUGUUGAAAAUACAUUUCCCUUUGA